ensembl:lncRNA
AUGCACGACUCUUUUGCCUGUUACCGGUGUACGUCACUGGGAACACAUUUGCAUAAUCCCCGCCUGCCCGCGAAAUACGAACAGAGUCUGAUCUGCCCACAAACACUUUUGCUAUUAGUGCGUUUACAUCAUGUUGAGAAGAUGCGGUGUUCAAGGAUACCACAGAAAUACAAUUCGAGCCUUUUGUUGUGUGCUUGUCAUUUUAUUAAGAACUGCUUCUCUAAUCUGGGCUUUUAUCUCCGUUGGCUUCUAAUCUUCUUGAUUUGGACUAACAAACUCUCUGAACCACGACCUGUAAGUAGUACGAUUGAUACGUUAGGUGUACAUUUUCAAUUGAGUGCUCAAAAUAUUUUUUUUUUGUGCCAAUAUGUGAUGUAUACCUAUAGUGCAGCUUUAGGUUUCCAGGUAAAGCACGAUAUUACUGUCUUACUGAAGUAGUUCUAAAAAUUCGCAGUGAACCUAAGAAUAUGUCGAUUAUUGUAAACUGACGUUGUUCUAAUUACUUUGUUUAAUAAUAAGAAUGUAGUGUAGCACACAGACUUUAUAAUAAUUGUGAAACUGCUGUUUAUUGUGCUUCACUGGCAGUUACAGGGUUAAUGCUGGAGAGAUGAGUGAUUUCGGCUGGUGCUCCUGUGAUACAACUGUUCUGCGUUCUGAUUAAAAGUUAAGACCAAGCGUCUUUUGUCUGUCGUUCUUCAAACAUUACAGUAGACACAUUUUGGUUUACAAACUGUAUUGUUUAAUCAUUUAGUCACGUUAGCACUCGGCUAACGUAUCCACCUAGUGUUCACAGUUUAGCAGCUAAACUUUAGCUGUGGGCACGAUUCGCUAGUAAGUUUUUUUGUAUUUUAUGUCAUUAUAAGAACGGAUUGACUAUAUUAUUGUUUUAUGUAAAGGUGCUUUGUCAAUGGUAGCGCUGGCUAACUGGCUCAAGGACUCAUCUCUGUGCCAAUCACAACAGGCUUGGCCAGCUGACCAAUCAGAGCAGAGUAGGCUUGAGGAAGGGAGGGGCUUGCUCCGAACUUGCUUGAAACGAAUCAUUUCCUAAUCAUUGGCAAAUGACUCUAAUAUUAAAUGUAUAUUCUGAGAAAAUUACAAUGUUUUCUGACCUUAGAUGCAUUUAAACCUGAUGUAGGGGACUCCAAUACAAUAUUGGGACACUUUAAAAUACCAUCUGAACUGCUCUUUAAUUUUUGUAAAAUUAGGGUCCAGGGCCUAGUCCAGAGCCUUAUUUUUGCUAAAUUACUUAGGAAUAUUAUUAUAUUAUUAUUAUGGAUUCAAAACUAAUUUAACAUGCUGCGAGAUUUGAAAACUAAUACUUUUGAACGUGUCAUCACAUAUACAGCUUCACAUGCAUGAGUUUUCUAAUUUAGUAGGUUUGCUCGUUAGCUCGUGUGAUCUGGCGUUGUACUUGAGUAAUGAAGAGCUCUGGUACGAACCCCGUGAAACUAUGGUUCAACAAAACAGCUGGUUCAGAAUUUGCUUCAUACAUGGUCUAAUUGCUUGAGAGGUGUUUUUUUUUUUUUUCAGUCCAAGCUAAAUGGUAUGAAAUUUUCAAUUGUAGUUAUUGACAGUGCUAAAAUAUUCCUUGGGCUACAGUCGUUGUAAGUAUAAUGUUUAAAAAUAUGUUGAUAUUUUCCACUAAUCAUGACGACCGGAACUGUCAUGGAGAUUCAUGGAAAUCAAAAAGUAUGGAACCCUGAAUAAAUAACAAAUCUUGUCCUCAACGGUAAAAACCAACCAAGCUGCACAAACAGACUGUGUUUAACUAUACAGUGGCGUGUGAAAGUAUGGUCCACAAGAGGAAUGAUGUUCCUUUCAGGCACAGGUCUUUCAGAGGGCAGGUCAACAUCCUUAUCGAUCCAUUCCACACAGCGGACUGUAUCCUCAGAGGGUCUUGCUGCACGCUUACAUGCAUCACACACCUUGAAUGAUGUAUCAGACUCGCACAGGCAGGUUGCAGACCAAAGGCACACAGUUACCGUGGUGAUUAAUUAGGUGCUUGGAUGGUGAUGUAGAGAGUAUGAAGGAACAUGGUGUAACAGAAGAGGUCAAUAACCUGCUGAAGUACAAAUGGCCCAGCAAAGUCUAUAGUGUAAGGUUUUAGCAAUCAUGCCAUAGAAGAAUUUUCGGUUCCAUAAAGAACAUUUCAGUGAACAUUUCUUAAAAGAACCAUUUUUUUUCUUAGUGUGAGGAACAUUUUAUUUAUCUGAAGGACCUUUUCCACUAUUUUGUGCAAUACACUGGAAAACAAAAUCUAUUUAUUUUCCUUGAAGUUCUGCUUGAAGAACAUUUAAUAAAGUUGAGAGGUCCAGUUAUUUGCAUUUGAAGAAAGAUAGCGAGAGAUGAUAAAAAAGACUCUAAAUCCAUCAUCAUUAAAUAUACCUCCAAACUGAGGUUUGAAGCACACCUUUUUCUAAUUAGAGAGAGGGAUCAAGAAAAUGAAAUCUCAAUCUCAUAAAGGUUAAACUUUAUUCUCUGUUUGGCAGAGAGAUGAGAGAGGUGAGCGAAUCCCUCUGUGCUCUUUCAUUACCAGACAGAUUGAUCCACUGAUGAGUCGAGUCAAAAAGAUUAAUCAGAACGAUUCCCCAAAGCUAAUAUUCUCCAACUCAGCUAAUGUGUAAAUGCUCAAGUCACAUUUUAAUUGGAGUGAA